rnacentral:lncRNA from 1 species
GUCAAUAAAAUAUAUAACUUUGGUUAAUUUGGCUUUUAAAAUUUUCUAACUGAAUUAACUGAUUUCUCACCGGUAAUCGCAGCAUAUAAAUGGAAACUGAUGUCUCUUAAUUUAUAUGGUUAAAAGUUAAUAUGAUCUCAUUGGGAUCUUAUUCUGAAUUCAAUCAGCAUUGAAACAUUCAUCAUCUAAUAAUAUGGUAAAGCUUUUGGUUAAUGUUUUAACCAUUCCCUUAGCUUUUUGGGCUUACUCGUUGUCUCAAACCUCUCUCUCUCUCUCUCUCUCUAAAGUGAACCUGAAGCUUUAAAGGAUCUCAAUAGGAUCAAGCUUUAUUGGGCUCUAUUAUAGCAUGUUUUUUUUCUGUAUUUUAUCACCUGUGAUUUGUAUUAUGUGAAUUGCUUGUUAACCCUUUCAAAAUUAUGUUGUUUUAUGCAUGUUUACAUUUCUGCAAUGUCUGUCUUUAACAGAUUAUCUUGUUGACGAGGGUACUGAAUGCAAUUCUACAUCUGAUUUAUUGCUGGAACGCAAUCGUGAACAGUGCUUAGUUGAUCUUUUGAUUCCGUCACUUGUGUUGCUGAUCACACUUUUGCAGAGAUUACAGGUUUGUUGCUUGUUUGUCAGACUGUAUCCUAAUGAAUCAUCUUUUGGUUCAAUAUGGAAGAUAACUUCCUGCAAAAAGCAUCAUGAAAAGUUUAGUGAAUUAAUGGUGAGAUUGAAGAUGCUAUGUUCCCACCUUCUUUAGAUCAGAAUAGUUGCUAGUGGAGGAGGAUUUAAUUGGUUCUUUCAUAAACUUCUGAAGAAGGUUGCUUCCUUUUUGCUGUUUUGAGCAUUAAUUCUUCCUCCUAAUUUAGAAAAGUCUGAAGCAUUAGUUGUGAAGUUCAUUAGAUACUGAUGCCCCUAACAUCAGACUCUUUUCACUCAUUUAAUAAUUAAUUGCAUUUUUUAGUGUACUUAACCUUUUUUAAUCCUUUACCAUCUUCCAAAUUUGAGAAUUGAAUUGUCUUGUCCUCUAUGUAUAGGAAGCUAAGGAACAGCACAAGAAUACGAAACUGAUGAAUGCAUUGUUACGAUUGCAUCGAGAAGUAAGGUAAUUAAUAUUUCCCUAUGGAAACUCUUGCAUACCAUGCUCAUUUAGGGAGUUAAUGGUGCUAAGCAUAUUGCUAUCUUGCAGCCCAAAGCUUGCAGCUUGUGCAGCUGAUUUAUCUUCUCCCUAUCCUGAUUCUGCACUUGGUUUUGAAGCUGUCUGCCAUCUUUCUGUGUCAGCUCUUGCUUAUUGGCCAGUAUAUGGUUGGAGUCCUGGCCUCUUCCACACUAUUCUUGCCAGUGUUCAAACUACUUCAUCACUGGCCUUGGGUCCAAAAGAGACCUGCAGUUUACUUUGUCUUUUGGUAUUUCAAUUUUUUUUUCUUUAAUACUAAUAGCACCCUGGUCUCCUUACUCAUAUCAAGAAAUAUUUACCUGGUUAUGUUUUGUUGUUGCUUAUAUCGUAUCUAUGUUGGUAAUUAUUAAGGAAGUGUUUUUGACCAAGACUGCUUGUUGUUUACCUUUUUCUUUUGUUUUCUAUAUCCCAACCUGGAAAACAAUGAAUUCCAAAUUCGGAUACUGUGCUUACUUUGUUUGCUGCUUUUCUUAAUAACACUUUUCUGUCAUCAGGAAUGGAAGACCCUUCUCUCAACUUAAGAAAUGUUUUUGCUCCAAUGGGCAUUUCCUUAAUUGCAGCAUUAACUGGUUUCUUUUGCCUUUUGCAUUGCAAGAAUGAUCUAUUUCCUGAAGAAAGUAUCUGGCAUUGGAAGAAUGGAAUGCCCUUGUUGAGUGCCCUUAGGUCACUGGCUAUAGGGACUUUACUGGGACCUCAUAAGGAGAGACAGGUUGAUUGGUAUCUAGAGUGUGGUCACCUUGAGAAGUUGUUCAACCAAUUGACACCACACCUCGACAGAAUUGCACAGAUUAUCCAACAUUAUGCCAUCUCUGUAUGUGCUCUUUCAUUGGCAUGCUACUUUGGUUUUCUUAUCAUCUGAAAUCUCUGAUAUUGCAGGAAUGUAGAAAUGGUUGGGGCAGGGUAGUUAUUCUAUUUUGAUAAACUUGCUUUAUAUCAUGUGCCUCUACUAAUAUAUCCCUUUUAAGCAGGCAUUGGUAGUCAUACAAGACAUGCUUCGAGUUUUUAUAAUUCGCAUUGCUUGCCAAAAAGCUGAACAGGCUUCUAAACUUCUGCGGCCUAUAUUGUCAUGGAUACAUGAUCAUACCUCUGACUUAUCAUCUUUAUCUGACACAGAGGCUUACAAGGUGAUAACUGCUAAGUUUUUUUUGCCCAAAUUACCUUUUUUUUUUCUGUGGUUGUUUAGACUGUUAUACCAAAUAAUUUCCUUUUCCCUUGGCAGGUUUAUAGAUGCCUUGAUUUUCUCACUAGCUUACUGGAGCAUCCAUAUGCCAAGGUUUUACAAUCUGUCUAUGGAUUUUUUUCUCCCCCCCCCUCUUGAUUUGAAGUUUAUUGUGCUCAUGGUGCUUCCUAUCUCAGGUGCUUUUGGUAGGCGAGGGUUUUCCUCAGAUUCUAACAAGAGUGUUGGAGAGUUGUUUUGAUGCUACGGAUUCAGACGGGAGGCAGGCUUCAGAUUGUAGGGAUUUUGCUAAAUAUGGGUUUGCUUUGAUUAGUUUGUGCAUCCCAGUUUUUAAGUCUAUCUCACUACUAUGCAGUUCUCUAACGUUCCCCCAAUAUGAUGAGAGACAUGAAAUGUGCGUUGAUUACUUGUUUUGACAUUCUCUGUUAUUUCUAUUAUAUAUUUAUAAUUUAUUUGAAAUGCAGAUUGGACAUGAUAUUUACUGCUUAAUGAUGGUUUCACUUAAAAUCAUUGUUGUUACUAGGCACAAAUUUGACAGUUUGAGCCCCAAAGAUUGUUCGAUAUUUAUAAAUCAACUCUUGAAGUUUUGCCAGGUAAUUGGAAGACUUGAAAACCUUUAGAGAUAGACUACUGAAUUCUGUUAUUGAGACCUAGUCUAGGAUCACAAGAUAGCUAAUCUUGUAAUCGAAAUGCGUUUUUUUCCCCACAGGUCCUACCAGUUGGAAAAGAAUUAGUGUCUUGCCUGACAGCUUUUAGAGACAUGGGUUCUUGCACAGAAGGGCGUAAUGCUUUGCUGUCUGCUUUGCUAUAUAGCAGCAGUUCUACUCAUGAUGAACUUGAAUCAGAGAGAGGAAAUGAAAAGAAUGUGAAUUUUCAUUUCCUUAAUGAAUCUGAAUGGAGAAAGUCUCCCCCAUUGUUAUGUUGCUGGAUAAAAUUAUUGAAAUCCAUUGAUUCAAAAGAUCAUUUACCACCUUAUACACUUGAAGCUGCUAAUGUGUUGGCUUUAGGUACUUUGGGCUUUUGCAUGGGUGGGAAUAGGUAAGAUACACACAUCUAUCACCGAUUACUUUCAUAAUGUUGCCUGCAUUACUUAACAUAGACUAGAGGAUAGUGGUUAAUAUUUUUUUGUUGCUAGGGCUUGUCAUUUCAUUGUUUUAGACCACCUUAAACUUGUUAACAUAAUCUUAUGGCUUAAGUAUGUUUUUAAGGAAGAUGUGAUGUGUUUGUUUUUAAGAGUAGUGGUUUCCCUUUUUUUCAUAGGAAAGAGAGAACUCCAGCAAAAACUCUUGGUGAUUAAAAGAGAGAGAGUUUUAGAAAAGUCAGCUCCAAGUAUGGAAGAAAAUUGAGAAUGAUUCAAGCAUGUUUCACUAUUUUCUAUAGAGAAAGGAAUACACUGUAUUCUUUCUCACAAAAUGUUUGUACUGGGAUUGGAGAAAAGAAACAGGACUUUUGGGAAUCAAAACAGAAAAAGAAAGCUGAAAUCUUUUUGAAACCCAAAUGCAACCUAGCUUUUUAUUUCUGUAUUCUCAAAGGCUUUGUGAUAUGUUAAGCUUAGUUCAUGUUUGAUCCCAUAUAAUGUCUGCAUCUGCCUGUUAGUUUAUUUGCUACUCUGCUCAUUGGAAGAGUAUUAGUCACUAAAUUAUGGUGUGCUCUUGUAUCAGUUGGAACAUGAAUUCUGUUGUAGCAUUGAAAUUCCUCUUUGGGCUUCCUGAUGAUACGACUGGGAUAGGUGGCUUCCCAGAAGACAACAUAAAAUAUAUUCAGCAAUUUUCUACCCUGUUAAGUUCAAGGAUUCAUAAUGAUGAGGACUAUCAAACUUCAUCCGAUAUUCAUAUCUCCAUGCAUCAGGUAUAACUAAGUAUGAUUGCAUCUUUCGUUUCCCCGACUUGUUUUUAAAACUUAAACUUAUCUCUGAUGCACAGGUUUCAGAGUCUGUGAAGUCAUUGUUGUUACUCUUCCAAAACUUGACUGCUGCUGUUGAGGUGGAUGAUGCUAUUCUCUAUGGAAGUCUUUCUUUUCCACAAAACAAUGUUCAAGUUCCUUCUGGAAUUCAGCACUUUGGACAAGGGCUUGACGGAAAGGCAGAUGACAGCCUUUACUCGGGAGGAUUUGAAGACAGGUUUUCAUGGGAAUUGCCUGAAACAUUACCUGGUAGAUUGUUACAGACAGCUCUUCCUACAAGAAGGAAACUGCAAGCAGCUGACAGCGCAAAUAGGAGUGCCAGAGGAGACAACUCUGUGGCUGAGAUAACAAAUCCAACUGCAUUUCAACGGGGAUUGGGUCCAUCUACAGCCUCUUCUGGUACUACUCGAAGGGAUAGCUUUCGACAGCGGAAACCAAAUACGAGCAGGCCUCCAUCAAUGCAUGUGGAUGAUUAUGUUGCACGAGAAAGGAGUGUUGAUGGUGUUUCUAAUUCUAAUGUAAUAGCUGUUCCGCGAGUAGGAUCUUCUGGGGGUAGACCUCCUUCAAUUCAUGUCGAUGAAUUUAUGGCUAGACAGAGGGAGCGUCAAAAUCCUGCUGCAUCAGGGACUGAGACUGCUGCACAAUCUAAGAAUGCAGCUCCUAUAAAUGGCCCAGAUAAUGAAAAAGUAAACAAGUCUAAGCAGCUGAAGUCUGAUCUCGAUGACGAUCUUCAAGGAAUUGAUAUAGUGUUUGAUGGUGAGGAAUCUGAAACAGAUGAUAAGUUGCCGUUUCCGCAGCCUGAUGAUAAUCUGCAGCAGCCUGCUCCUGUAAUUUUUGAGCAAAGUUCUCCGCAGUCCUGUUGUUGAAGAGACUGAAAGUGAUGUUAAUGGAAGUAGUCAAUUUUCUCACAUGGCUACACCUUUAGCAUCUAAUGCUGAUGAGAAUGCCCAAAGUGAGUUUUCUUCAAGAAUGUCAGUUUCACGUCCUGAAAUGUCUUUAACCUCGAGAACCUAGUGUUUCUUCAGAUAAGAAAUUUUUUGAGCAAUCUGACGACUCAAAGAAUGCUGUUUCAAUUAAGAACUCUGGUGGGUUUGAUUCUGCAUCUGGGACAAAUAGUUCAGGAUUCUCUGCCCCUAUUUAUAGUAAUACACCUGCAACAUCAGUGCAGUUGCCACUGGAUUCAAGAAUAACUCCACAAAACUUCUAUCCAAAGAGCAGUGCACAGUAUGCUGGUAACAUUCCUGUGGCAGCUGGAUCUCGAGGAAUGUAUGAGCAGAAAGUUCUGCCAAAUCAACCACCUUUACCCCCAAUGCCUCCCCCACCAACAAUUUUGCCAGUAAGUUCUCUUAUUAGUUGUCCUCAUUUAUUAGUUUAUGCUUGACAUAGGCCUCACAACUGACAGCCUUUCUAAAUAAGAUUUUUGUUUUUCACUGCUUUAGCUUGAUAGUUUACUUACACUUUCUAAAUGUUCACUUUUCUUUGCUGCAGGUCCAAUCCGAUUAUUUAUCUUCAGUUAGUGGCAGUCCUUCCUGUUGCAAUCUUCCAUUCCCGUGUCAGAUUCAAGUUUAUGAGAACUUCUAUGCCUUCGCCUAGUGGAACUACUAGGCCUCCACCACCCCUUCCUUCAACACCGCCUCCAUUUGCAUCUAGCCCAUAUAAUUUAGCUUCCUUAAAUACUUCUGCUUCCCAACCAGCACUGUACAAUCAGUCUGUUAUGGGUAAAAACGAACUUCCUCAGGGUUCUAUUGGACCUACUAUUGAUGCUCGUCUUCCAUACUUCAGCGUGCUGGCUUGGCUUCAUUCCACCUCCACCAUUGAUGCAAUCUAUAGUUUUUAAUAGGCCUCCUUCGAUCCCUGUUACACCUUCUGGAACAUCUCCUGCACUGCAUCAGGGUGAGAACCACCCUCCUAGCAUCUUGCAAAACCCCUCAAUACCUCAGUCUUCUAUGCAAACAAUCCAUUCUCUUAAUCAGCUGCAGAAGCUUCAACGUCCAUUGCAGCCAACUCAACAUCUUAGGCCAUCCAUAGCAAUCAUCACAGCAGUUGGAGCAAGUUGUGUCUUCGCAAACCCGGUUCAGAUGCAAAUACAGUCAUUACCGAUGAUGCAUCAAGCUCAUAUCUCUCCUGUUAAUCCUUAUUAUCUGCCCCAACAGCCUGAAUUUUCAAGCAGCGCAACAACAGAUGCAAGUUGAGCUUGCUUCAACAACAAGCACCACCACAAACUGGUGGUACGUCACAGCAACAAGAUUCUGGAAUGUCCUUACAUGAGUACUUCCAGUCUCCAGAAGCUAUUCAGGUAAGUCUUGUGCAUGUCUAACCUCAUGAAGAGGGAAUGCCAUCUGCUUGACAUCUUCUGUAUCAUAAUUUUAUCUUUACUUUUCCUAAAUGCAGCAGUCUUUGUUUGAGAGAUAGAGAGAAACUUUGCCAGCUUAUUGGAGAGCAGCAUCCGAAGUUAAUGCAGAUGCUUCAGGUUCAGUUUCUACAUUAAUUCUUGUUUGUCUCAAGGAAUUUUAUUAUGUAGUAGUAACAUCUCCGAUCAACAAAGUUUUUUAACUUCUAAAUGCUCUGCUGAGAGCUUUUCAACUUGUUCUAUAUUAUAUGGCUUGUAUACAUAUAUGUGCAUCAAACAUUGAUGCAUAUAUACAUUACUCUGAUUUAUGUUACUCGGACUUGGGUUUGUGUUAGAUAUGGGUAUGCGACUGUCACCAAUAUGUUUAAAUUUUUAAAAAGCAUUUUCAUAUAGUUGGAGUAUUCUUAAAGUUUCAAUGUCCCUCUAAACUCUGAUAUGUGGGACAUGCAGUUACUUCUCGGGAAAAAAUAAGGAUUUGGGAGUAACAUAGUUAUGAUAAUAUGCUUAAAAUAUAUGCUUGCUAUUAUAUUCUAAAACAUGGUUGCUUCUCAUGUUCUCUAACAGGAAAAGUUGGGUCAGCUGUAGCAAAAGAUGAUAAUGGGAUUGUACGGGUGCUUUAUUCUAUUUUCUGUAGCAUAUUUCAGACAUGUAAUCAUUGAUCCAAGACUCUGAAGUACAAUUCUUGAGCCUCGGCCUUAGGUCGCCAUGUUUCAAGCUUCAAAUGCAGUUGCCUGAUUAAGCCUGUUGCACUAAAUUUUGUAUCAGUUUGGACCAUAUGUACAUUAUAUUCCAUUUACUAUUACAACUUGCAUUUUUUUUUCAUUGUUUUAUAUCUAUUUCAUGUGUAGGGGAAAAUUUUCCUUCCCUGGUAAGUUCCCUUGUAUGAUAAGCCGAUGUUGAUAUGUCAACUCCAACUCUGUAUAUAUGCUUAUUGUCUGUUCUAUCAAGUAGCAAUGGUUUUGGCCAAAAAAAGAAAAAACUCCGCCAUGGGUUGACGAGAUUCUGGAGUUGCUAAAAGUUGUCUGGGGUUUGAAUCGAUAUUAGACGUCAACUUUUGACUUGAAUCAACACUUUUUUUUUGCCAGGGUUAGGGUUUGUUUAGAAUUGCAUCUCAAAGUAGCAUGCUGAACCAUGUUUUUUUUUAUUCAUAAGCAAUUUUAAACAAUCCACUUUCAAGUAAUCAAAUUUUCAAAUUGGGAUUUAAACUAAUCAAUUAUGCAUAAACGUCAGCUUUUGAAUUUUCAAAACCCCACAUUUAGGCUUCAGGCUUUUGUUUUUCCUGAAAUCCCUCAUUUCCCGGUUUAGAUUUUUUUUUUUGAGCAGUGAGAUUUUCCUCUCUUAGGUUAAUUUUUUUUUUGGAUUAGUAAGAUUGUUUUAGUGAGAUUAAAAUGAUGGUGGUGUAUGAGAUUGACUUUGCGAGAUGAAAAAUAACGGGGUGGUGAAAUUAGUUAUUGUAGCAGUGAGAGUGAAUGGUAGCAAUGAGUGGGGUAGCAAUGAGUUAAAAAUAGCAUUUUGUUUAGAUUAAAAUGUAGUUGUAGCGGUGAGGUGAAAAUAGAAAACUAUUAAAAAUUUAAUAUGAAAUUUUGAUAUGGUGAUGAAUUAUUUUUACAUAUGUUUAAAUUUUCAAAAAUUAUAUUCUAUUAUUUUAUAUUCAUAAUAAUAUUUUUAACAAAAAUAACAAUAUAGAUUUGUCAUAAUUAUAAAUAAACAUAUAAAAACACAAAUAAAUAAUAUAACAAAAAUAUAAUACAUUAUAAAAACAAAAACAUAAAAUAUAUUAUGUAAUGCAUAAAUCAUAAACGUAUGCAUAAAAGGGCACCCUAAAGGCUACACCUCAGGGAUUUGCUUAGUAUGCUGUAGUGAAGUCUUAGGCUUCAAGUUAAUGUAAUUAAUUAUUCAUGCUUGCUAAGGAGAAUUGUACAUAAGAAGUGUAGAACUGGUAGAAAGUUAAAUUGUAGUUCUGUUUUGAAACCUGUUGUGAAUAAAAGACAUAUUUAAUUGGUAAAUUCGAAUUAAUCAUGGUGUACUUAAGUUGUGAAUAGAAUAAGCUAGAUUUUUAAUCAACAACUAGAUUAUUUAGAAACACUUGGUACCUGGACUCGGUGAUCGGUCGAGUAAUGGGUGUUACAACUUACUAUGUCAUGAUUCAUAAUAUGUGAAACAUGUAUGUUUGGAAUAUUGAUUACUCUAUUUGUAGCCCCAAAUCCAACCGGGAUGGUCCGACCGAAUUCGGAACGUCACAUUAGUCACUUACGUGACUACAUCAUACACCACCAUUCACACCACACUUUCACACAUAAUUAGCAAUUAAAUCGUUAGGAUAAUCAUACAAAUCCUAUAAAUCUCUUAUCUAACAAAUUAUUCAAAAGUCAUUCAAGGGCAAAAUCGUUAUUUUGCAUUCAUCAUGAAUCACGCAUAAAUAACAAUUUUAAAAAUAAAUUUCAAAUCUAUAGUUAUGUAAAAACAAUAUUCAAAGAAUCAAUUUAAACCAAUUAGUAAUCCUCGAUUAAUUUUAAAAAAAUAAAGUUUUUAAGGGACCAAAUCGUAAAACAACAACAAAUUGUAUGAAGUAACCAUUUUACAAAAUUGUAAGUAGCACACAAAAAUUAACCAUCAAACCUCAUUCAUGCAAAAUUUUCAAAGCACUUUAUUGCUUUUGGAUUCCAAUUUCAUUUCCUAAAACUUGGGACUAGAUUGCAAAGGAAGCAAAACAAGGCAUAUGCACGGUGUGCCACGUUGUGACGACACGAUUGUCACGUCGCAACGUAAGAAAAGGACCCUUGUCACGACGACACAACUUGGGUGUCGUAAUAUCGAUCCCUCGUCGCAACGUCGUUCAAAUUUGUUGCAACGUCAUAUGCAAUUUCUGUAGAAACAACCCAUCAACCUAUUUUUCAUUUUGACUCAUUACCAAAACAUACAAUUUCGUACAUUUAGGCCUAUUUCUCUAUUCUAACAUGUCAUAUGCAAGCAUACAUAAUUCAAAACAUGCUCUAAUACAUUUUAUACACCUUAGCAAAAUUUGACACUCCAAGUAAUUUGUUAUGCUAGCAUAUAAGUCCUUAACUUCACACUCAAUCAGACAACAUACCAUAAAAACAAUUCAUGCUUUCCUAAAGAUCCUAAAUGCUUAUUUUAGACCUAUUUGGUCAUUUAAAACAUACCAAAACUUCUAGGAUACCGUUAAACCAUUUUGUCACAUUUUGUCCAAGAUUCAGCAAACCUUUAACACAAAACUUUAAUAAGCAAUCAUGCAUCAUCAAAAUCAUCAUUCACAAGCAAUCAAAAGAUCACAACCCAAGUUUAAAUUCUUCACAACAUUCCUUAAAUUCCGUUAUAGUACCAACAUUNNNNNNNNNNNNNNNNNNNNNNNNNNNNNNNNNNNNNNNNNNNNNNNNNNNNNNNNNNNNNNNNNNNNNNNNNNNNNNNNNNNNNNNNNNNNNNNNNNNNNNNNNNNNNNNNNNNNNNNNNNNNNNNNNNNNNNNNNNNNNNNNNNNNNNNNNNNNNNNNNNNNNNNNNNNNNNNNNNNNNNNNNNNNNNNNNNNNNNNNNNNNNNNNNNNNNNNNNNNNNNNNNNNNNNNNNNNNNNNNNNNNNNNNNNNNNNNNNNNNNNNNNNNNNNNNNNNNNNNNNNNNNNNNNNNNNNNNNNNNNNNNNNNNNNNNNNNNNNNNNNNNNNNNNNNNNNNNNNNNNNNNNNNNNNNNNNNNNNNNNNNNNNNNNNNNNNNNNNNNNNNNNNNNNNNNNNNNNNNNNNNNNNNNNNNNNNNNNNNNNNNNNNNNNNNNNNNNNNNNNNNNNNNNNNNNNNNNNNNNNNNNNNNNNNNNNNNNNNNNNNNNNNNNNNNNNNNNNNNNUGACCAUUGCGUCCACACAGGCCUGGCCACACGUGUGUGACCCUUACAACUUUGAAAAAUUUCAAUGUUUUUGAAAAUUUUUUUAAGUAUCCAUUUAGUCCCAACUUAUUUCUAACGCGUAUUUUGGGCCCCAAGGGCUGUAUAAAAGACAAUAUGUUUAAUUUGAUUGGUUUCUGAUGAACGUAUAUGAUAUGAAAUGUUUGUUUAUUUGAUCUGUAAACUCCGGUAAUGCCCGUAACCCCCUGGGAUGGAUAAGUUAGGAGUGUUAUAGUUACAUUUUCCUUCUCUUGUUUUCUGUUUCUUCAAUGAUUAUUUUUCCCAAUAAAGACAAAACUUAAAAAAAAAAACUCUAAACUCAUGGAACUUAAGUCAUGAUAACAAAGAAUAAUCCAUUCACAUUAAAAAAAACAUAAAAAACCGUAGUCAAAGAACCCACAACUAUAAAUUUUAGUUAAAAAAUGGGUUUAUAAUGGAAAAAAAAAAGAUAAAAGAGCUUGAAGAGAGAAUAGUUGUUAAUGCAUCCCAUUUUAAACCCAUUUUUGUAUCUGAAUUUUGAAUCUUGGAUGUGGAAUAGUUGCCAAAAAUCAAAAUUUGUAUGUUCUUCAUUUUUCUUUUAUAUUUCCCUUUUAUACCUAAUGUAUCUGAAUUUAGAAUUUUGAAUGUGGAUUUUUUCUUUAAUUACGGGUUGUUAUAUCUUUUUUUGAAAAUGUUAAAGGGUUAUUUUUUGCCAUUAUAGUGACUUAAGUUCCAUUAAUGGAGUUCAAAGAAAUGUUUUAAAACUUUGUCUAUAGUGGGAGAAAAAAUGGUAGCCAUUGAAGAAUGUGAGAAAAGAAGAAGGGAAAGAAGAGAGAAAAUAAAGAAAUAAAAAAAAGAAAAAAAAUUUACUCAGAAAGAAAAAAUAUAGGCUAAUUGUAUAAUUUAAAAAAAUUUCAUCUGAAAUGAUUACAUUAACAUGCCAUAUUAGCUUAUUUUACACCUUUAACGACUAAGUGAUCAUAUAACAAGAUCAAUAACGUUAGUGGUUAUAUAAUUUUUAAAAGUUUAUUGACCAAAACAUAUUUUUUAGAAAAUAUAAGUGACUAAACUUGUAGUUUACCCUUAAAUAUAUAGAUUAUGAUAAAUUAGUCCUCAACUUUUACAUUUUUUUGUCAAUUUGGGUUUUAACUUUUUAGCUAAAUUUGGUUAUUAACAUUUAAAAAAGAGUAAAAAUCAAUUUUUUAAUAGAAAUGCUGACCAAACAUUAACUUUUCAUUGAUGUUACCGUGACAACUCGCGUAAGAGUCUGUGUGUACUUCAUGCAAACAUUACACUAUUUAUCUUACGUCAACAAUAAUUUAAAAAUUAAAAAAAUCAAAAAUAAAAAAAUUUUAAAAAGUUAAAAAAAUUAGUAUGAAGUACACGGGGUUUUCAUGUUUAAAAUUUAAUGAUUUAGUGAUAUUUCGUUAAAAAUAGUAAUUCAACUCUUUUUGAAAGGUUGAUUAUCAAAAUUGACUCUUUUAAACGGAUUAGAGGCAAAUUUAGCUAAAAAAAGAAUUAGGGUCAAAUAGAUAAAUAUAUAAAUAUUAAGGGCAAAAUUAUAAUUGUUACUACCUAAAAACUAAAUUAUGAAUCGGUUAAAAUAUGCCAUAAGUCCCUAUACUCUUCAAAAAUUUGGAAUUUAGUCCAUAUACUUCUCUUUUUAAGAAUUUAGUCUCUCUACUUUUCAUAUUUAAAACUUAGGGCCAACUAUUAACCGUGUUAAAAUUAUUUUGUUAAUUCAUGUUAAUUACAUACCAUUUUUUUAGUUAUAUAGCUACUAAGUGAAUAUUUCAUUUUAAAAAUGUCAUACCAAUAAAUUUAAUAAAAAUUAACAAUAUUAACAUUUGGAACUGAAUUUUGAAAUCUGAAAGUAGGACUAAAUUCUUAGAAAUAAAGCUAAAAGGACUAAAUUCUUAAUUUGUAAAGAGUACAGGACCUAUGACAGAUUUUAACCAUCUAAAUAUUACUUAAAUGUAACUGAGGUCGAAGGAUCAAAUUAGAAAAUCUUGAAAUCUCCAUAGGAAAAAAGAAAAGUUUUGAAAUCUGAAGGUAUUUAAUUUCAACUAGUAAAACCUUGUUCUAAUCCGCCUUCCCUCUCUGGUUCAAGGUCCGGUUUGGCCACAAAAACAAAAACUGGACCCCCUUUCAACCAGAACCAAACACUCUUUAAUCGGCGGCGGGGGUUUAGAAAUCAAAUCCAAAACCCUAAAAAUCUUGAACAACCCAAAUCCAGAAUUUUCUUCAGAUUUUCAUGUCCCCCUCAUUAAUCGGACCCGAAGAUCGAUAAACUAACACCCUAAACCAAAAUGGGUCGACCCGAGCCCUGCGUUCUGUUUUCUCAGACUUUCGUUCACCACUCACUUGACGAAUACGUCGACGAGGUAUCUUGUUUUCUUGGUGUCGAUUCUUUCUUUCCCUUUUGGCAUUUAUGAAAUGGGUUGGCAAGGAAUAAUUAAAUGAUAUUUUUUUGUGGCAAUCCAGGAUUUUAUUGGAAUGUUUCGUUGGUUCUUGGUUUAUUGAUUGAAUGGAGUAUUGCAUUUCUUUUAUAAGAAUUUAAUUUAUGGGUUUCGGGUUGUGUUUUGUUUUGAUUUCUUGUUUUCUCAGGUAUUGUUUGCUGAACCAGUUGUUAUAACUGCGUGUGAGUUCCUUGAACAGAAUGCGUCCUCAGCUUCUCAAGCUGUGUCGCUUGUUGGGUAUGUUAAGCUAGUAAGCUUCCUACAGUUGUAGGGUUAUUUUUCUCAUGGGAACUGUUCAUGUACAUGAUAAUGUUGGUGUUAUAAUUUUGUUUUCUUCACAUGAUAUUAUUGAAUUAUGGUCAUUAGAAGCUAGGGAAGUAUGUAUAUAAGUGACAUAUCCGUCUCCUGAAAUAUAUUGUAUGUUGUUUUGUUGGUAUGAUGUAGUUCAGUAGUGGAGGUUUUAAUUUGGCACUUAUAUUGUGUUUGGUUGGAGGGAAAGAACAGCAAAAGAAUAGGAAUGGUAAGCAGGGGUUAAUUGGUGGGACUUGUUCCUCCUUUAGACGAGUCAAAAUAAAUUUAGGAAGAAAUGAUUGCUGAUUGAUAAAUUGAUUUGAAUUGUUUUAAUAUGUUGAGAUGAGACUUCUCCUCUUUCUUUUCUUCCAUUUAUUGAUUGCCAAUUCUUUAUUUUUCUGGCUUAUCCAAUUUCUCUCAAGAGUGGCAAUGUUUUUCUCUCCCUUUCUUCGUUUCCUAGCAAUCUUUCUUUCUUCUUGCCUUCCUAUCAAAUUGGUUUUGAAAAGUCGAACCCAAUUCUGCCAAAAUUCCUGAUGAGCAAAAGCAAGAAUGAAUCUGGCAUACCAUUCAUCUACUUCUCUCACUUCUCUUAUGAACUUGAUGGUGAAGAUCAUCUACCUUUUUCAUUCUUAAAAGCAGCUUCUUUCUUAGUAAAUGUUAGAACCAAAUUCAUCUAAUUCACCUCAAGCAACAACAGCUUCUUAAACAGGUGAGGAAGUCGAAGUCUCUUGCAUCUGCUUUAUCAUGGCCUAGAUUGAGUGCUUUCAAACCCUUGCAUCUUACCAUGAUUUUUCAUCCAGCUGAGCGAGGAAUGUGGAGUUCUGAAUUUGUUAAUUGACAGAUCGAAAUCUGAGACUUUGUUGAUUAUAAACAGUAAUUGUGUAUCACAAAUAUGUUCUUUUGUAUAUGGUUUAAUUAGUAUGAUACAUUAUUAUAUUAAUAACAAAUUUCAGCAUGUGUUCCAUUGUUAAGGUUAGGCGCAAGCUAGUAGAAAGGAUAUACAUUAUUUUAAUUGAUGCCAUAAAUUUGGCUAUUGUGCUUCUCAGUUAUUGGAAUAUUGAGGUUUCUGAAAACCUAAUUUUCUAUGCUGUAAUUUAUACAGGGCCACUUCACCCCCUUCAUUUGCUUUGGAGGUGUUUGUUCAGAGUGAGGGAGAGACAAGAUUUAGGCGCCUCUGUCAGCCUUUUCUAUAUUCUCAUUCUUCAUCAAAUGUGCUUGAAGUUGAGGUGAUUCUACCAUUCCUAUACCAUUGGGAUUUAUUUGAAUUCUAUAUUUGAACUUUUUCAGGUUAUGUUGCCUCACUUUAUGCAUUGGUUUAUGUAAGCCUGCACUUUUAUCCAUAUAUAUGCAUUUAUGUACACCUAUAGGUUGAUUGCUGCAUAAUAAAAUGUUUUAAAAAGAAUGAAUUAACAAAGUUUUUUGGGAAUUUGCUAGCAUUAGCAAUUUGAUUGAUGUGAUGUGCAAUUAAAAUGUUUGUUGAGGCUGCAGAAAACAUUUUAACAUCUUUAGCAUAAGAUAGCUCUGCUUAUCUUCUCAUCUCCCGUUUGUAGUUAUCUCUCCUUUAUUUAAAGUAUUUUAUGCUUCCUAUCUGUCCACCUGGUGUGUCUUUAUUUGGGAAAGCUAUAUGUGGACACCGAGUUUGUUUAAAAUUGUACUGUGAUCUUUUGCAGGCAGUUGUAACCAACCAUCUAGUUGUAAGAGGUAGCUACCGGAGUUUAAGUUUGGUCAUAUAUGGAAAUACAGCAGAGGAUUUGGGGCAGUUCAACAUUGAAUUUGAUGAUAGCUCUCUAACUAAUCUUGUUAGCUCUGCUGACGGAAAGCUUGAAGACCUACCUCUUCCCUUAUGCGCGUUUAAUCGGACAUUUGAGGAAUCAUUAUCUUCUUUAAAUGUUUUAUCUUUACCAGUAGUCACACUAGAUUUGUCAGUAGAGGUUAAGCAAUUACUGCAGCAAAUGUUGAAAAUUUUGGAAUUGCCAAACCUUGGUCACGAAGUACAUGAAGUUGUUCAUACUCUAGCAUUAGCAGCUGCUUCAUUUGUAACCUUUGACUUAGAUUCUAAUGCAAUCAAUCAGAAUCAUCUUACAUCAGGAAGAAACAAAGAUUUUAAGGAGUUGAACCAUGGUAUAAGUGAGGCCAGGAAAGAGCUGCUUGAGCUCUAUGAGACUCUUCAACGUAAAUCCAUGAACGAGUCCUCUGAAUCAUUGACAGAAUGUAUCUUUAUGGAGUCUGAUGCUGAUUUGGCUUCUUCCAAACAGUUGGUGGAAAUGCUGUCACCAUGUUUUCAUUUCAAUAGGAGCUCCUCUAGUUUUGGGCAUGGCCAGCUACCAGAGGUGAUUGAGAUAGAGGCUGUUUUCCUUGUUAUUUAUAUUAUAUUGCAUUCCUUUUUGAAUUUAAAGAUAUAAAAUUACUUUGGUAUGAAAUUAAUGCUUAUCCAUAUUUCAUAUGCUAACUUCAAUUUACAGAGUAAUAAUGUCAUCUUGGGGUUGAAUGUGGCUCUUUUCUUGUGCUCCGCUAAGGAGAGCUGCUUUCACUUUGUCAACUGUGGGGGAAUGGAUCAGCUUGCAUAUCUUUUUGAUCACCAGAUGCAGAACUCGAUUACCAUUACAUUGUUGCUACUUGGAGUUAUUGAGCAGGCUACUCGACAUUCUGUUGGAUGUGAGGGAUUUCUUGGUUGGUGGCCUCGUGAGGAUGAAAAUAUCCCUUCUGGCACUAGUGAUGGUUACAGUUACUUGCUGAAGUUGUUGCUGCAAAAACCACGACAUGAUGUUGCUUCUCUAGCAACUUAUAUCCUUCAUCGACUAAGAUUUUAUGAAGUUAUUUCGAGAUACGAGGUAUGCUUAUGAAGUUGGUCUUGCCUUUUUGCUUGGGCAAUUGGUUUAUAUCCAAAACUGUCUUAAAAUUCUUUGCUUGUAAUUUUAUUCUUUACCAGUCUGAAAUCUUAUCCAAACUGGGUGGCCUUUCUGCUACUACUAAAGGGACAAAUGUUGCUUCAAACAAGCUCAGAGGUGUUGGAUCACUACUUAAAAAGCUUCUGGUCAGUUGUCAAUCUUUCAACUGCGUUAAUUUUCUUGUUGUUUUCGAAAUAUGUGGUGGCUGCUCUAAAUGUAAUUUUGUGAUGUUUGUACUCAAUGUUAAUGCAGCAUUUGGUAAUUUCACAUGGCCCAAUUGAAGAUCCAUCUCCAGUGGCCCAUGCAAGCAGAUAUUUUAUUCUUGGUCAAACUGAUGGAUUAGUAUCGUAUAAAGCAACCAGUGGGUUGAUUGCUUCUUCAAAUUGUUGCUUCUCAGAUUGGGAAAUUGACUUGCAUUUGCUGGCACUUCUUAAGGUAGGUUGCUCAGUUAGCUCUUAUGAACUUUUUGAAUGUUCCAUAUCCAUGCUUGUUGCUUUUGCAAAUUUGAUUUUAGCUUAUAGCAGAUGAUCUGUUCUGAGACUUGUUUAUCCAUCUUUUAGAAGUGUUAUGAUCUAAGGCGUAAAUAAACUUUCACACGAUCAGUAUCAUUGCAUCAUUAUUUUAUUUCUUUUAGGAUGGAUUUGGUAGGAAGAUGAUGAAAUGGUUACUAUAAGGUUAGAAAGUGGACGAUUGUAUCUCACCUUAUGCUGGUUUUUGCAAGAUGAAAAGUGGAAUAUGAUAAUUUUUAUUGUAUGCCAUGUUUGUUGCUGAAUGAUUGAAUUAUACUGAUAGAGAGAGAACACUAAAACUCAAUUAAACUGACAAAUUACUACACUCAUGAUCUACUGACCACAAAGGGCACUAUCCCCUGGACUAGUAAAGACAUUGUUGAUGAUGGACCAGUGACCUUAGCCAUUGGCUUGGGAAGGGGGAUAAACUUUGUCUACGAUUUUCCAUAAGAAUCCCUCUUGGUAUCCCUAACUUUUUUUUUCUUUUCUAGUUAUUGUGAUGAUAUAUGGAGCGUCUAUUAUUUUUUGUUUUGUAGGCGUAAUGCAACUCUGCAAGAAAUCUAUUAUUUUCCAAAUAUUUUUGGAUGAGUUGGUUGGGUGUGAUCAAAUUAUAGUGGUUCUAUUAUUUAUCUCAAUAUUGUCUCUUUUGAAGCAGGAUCGAGGAUUUCUUCCUUUAUCAGCUGCGCUGUUGUCAACUACUAUUUUGCAUUCUGAAGCUGCGGAUGUUGUGGACACUUCUUUGGAGAUUGUGUCAUCCAUUGGAUCCAUAAUUCUCUCCCUACUGUUUUGUCGCUCAGGUUUUGUUAAUGACUCUGCAGCAAAGAUAGCAUUGUAUUAUUAAGUCAAUUAUGGUUGUGAUUGAUGCUGUGUUACCUCUGUUUCAGGCUUAGUUUUUCUCCUACAUCAGCCUGACCUUACUGCUACACUAAUUCAUGCCCUGAAGGGUGCUGAUGCUAUGAACAAGGAAGAGUGUGUUCCUCUUCGGUAUGCUUCUGUUUUAAUAUCUAAAGGAUUUACUUGCAGUCCACAGGAAGUUGGAAUCAUUGUUGAGACACAUUUGAGGGUGGUUAGUUCCUUUUCUUGGUUGAUAUGAAUAUUGAUAAUCUCCUUUUUUUUUUUUUGAAUUUCACUAAAAAUUUUGACUGAAUAUGAGUUAUUUGUGGGUAUCUUAUUGUAGGUUAAUGCCAUAGAUUGUUUGCUUUCAGCAACUCCACAGUCUGAAGAAUUUUUAUGGGUAUUGUGGGAGCUUUGUGGUCUUGCUAGGUGAAUUAGUUGAUCUAUUUCUUUUACCUUGGAAUUGAACUACAUGGGUGGUUCUGACUGAAACUUGUUUUUAUGUUUGGCAGGUCUGAUUGUGGACGCCAAGCUUUAUUGGCCAUGAGUUUUUUUUCGGAGGUAUUGACAAAUGUUCUGUAUGGUUAAUAUUCUUUAUGGCGUGCGGAGACUUGGCUUCUAUUUGAUAACUGACAUAUGUUCAUGUCAAUGCUAUUAUUUUCCCCCUUUUUUGUCAGGUGCUUUCAGUUUUGAUUGAAGCUUUGCAUUCUGUCAAGGAAUCAGAGCCUGUCAUCAAGAAUAGUGGUACUGUUUAUUUUGUGGUUAGGUUAAAUUAGUUGAAAAGCUUCUUGUUUAAUUGCAUAAUAUAAAUGGCCUCAUAUUUGCAACUUUCUGGAUAUGCAGGUGCUUCACCUCUUAAUCUUGCAAUUUUACACUCAGCUGCUGAGAUUGUUGAAGUCAUUGUUACUGAUUCAACUGCAACGUCUCUUUCCUCUUGGAUUGGACAUGCUAUGGAACUUCAUAAAGCUUUACAUUCUUCUUCCCCUGGGUCCAAUAGGAAAGAUGCUCCUACACGGCUAUUGGAGUGGAUUGAUGCUGGUUUAGUUUAUCAUAAAAAUGGGGCUGUUGGUCUUCUAAGAUAUGCUGCUGUUUUGGCUUCUGGAGGAGAUGCUCACCUUACCUCAACCAACAUUCUAGUUUCUGAUUUAACAGAUGUUGUUGAUAAUAUUGUUGGAGAAUCUUCUAAUGCUUCUGACAUUAAUGUGAUGGAGAAUCUUGGAAGCAUUAUCUCUAUGAAGUCCUUUGAGGGUGUUAACCUCCGUGACUCUUCUAUAGCCCAGCUGACAACUGCAUUUCGAAUUUUGGCAUUCAUUUCAGAGAAUCCAGUAUGCAAUUUUAUACUAUAAUGUCUAAUUUAAAACUAAAUUGAUUUGACAUGUAAUGUAUAGUUUUUCAUUGUAGACUGUUGCUGCUGCUUUAUAUGAUGAAGGUGCCAUCACAGUUAUCUAUGUGGUUCUUGUCAAUUGUAGCUACAUGCUUGAGAGGUCCUCAAACAGUUAUGGUAAGUUGAUAUGUAUUGUUGUUGACUGGGCUGCUAGUCUGAUUUAAUUGUACUGUAUCUAGGGGUGAGCAAUUUUUGGUUACAACUGAAUUAGUCAAAUUAACUGAAGCAAUUUGGUUAAAAUGUUUCUAUUCAGUUAAAUUCGGGGUUAGACUUGGUUAAUUUGAUUAAUUUGGUUGCUUAUGGUUUUGCCCCUUUUUAAUAAGUUUUAUGUUAACCAAUUUGACAUUUAUACAUUUACUUUUUCAAUAAGCUAUAACUCUUCAACGAUAAAGCUCACUCUGUCAUUUAUAUAGCUCAAUAAACAGGCUCACCAUGUUGUAAGAGCUACUGGUGCCAUGCCUCAGUUAAAUUCUAGCUAAACUAGUUCAAGAAAAUGUGAACUUUAAUGUAGGAAUUUAGGCUUAAAGCUUUUGAUUUGAUUUUAGUUAAUUUGGUUAACCAACCAAGUUAACUGAUGCAAUUCUGUUAUUGGUUAAUUCAUAAAAUUCAGUCAAUAAAAUAUAUAACUUUGGUUAAUUUGGCUUUUAAAAUUUUCUAACUGAAUUAACUGAUUUCUCACCGGUAAUCGCAGCAUAUAAAUGGAAACUGAUGUCUCUUAAUUUAUAUGGUUAAAAGUUAAUAUGAUCUCAUUGGGAUCUUAUUCUGAAUUCAAUCAGCAUUGAAACAUUCAUCAUCUAAUAAUAUGGUAAAGCUUUUGGUUAAUGUUUUAACCAUUCCCUUAGCUUUUUGGGCUUACUCGUUGUCUCAAACCUCUCUCUCUCUCUCUCUCUCUAAAGUGAACCUGAA